UACGUAGGGGGCGAGCGUUGUCCGGAAUCAUUGGGCGUAAAGAGCGUGUAGGCGGCCCGGUAAGUCCGCUGUGAAAGUCAAAGGCUCAACCUUUGAAUGUCAGCGGAUACUGCCGGGCUAGAGUCCGGAAGAGGCGAGUGGAAUUCCUGGUGUAGCGGUGAAAUGCGCAGAUAUCGGGAGGAACACCAAUGGCGAAGGCAGCUCGCUGGGACGUUACUGACGCUGAGACGCGAAAGCGUGGGGAGCAAACAGG
rnacentral:rRNA from 1 species